GUUUUAGCCAGCUAGGGGAACCUGUCCUUUAAUUCGAUAAUCCACGAAAAUCUUACCUGUUCUGGUUUUCAGUUUGUAUACCGUCGUCGAAAGCUGGCACCAAAAGGGGUUAGAAGCUAGCAAGAAAGAUUUUUCUCUUGUAAGUCAGAUCAAGGUGCAGCCUAUGAAUAGGGAGGAGAUGGGUUACAAUUAAUAAUUUCUAUUGGAGUUCUAAUGAAAUUUAGUUAAUGGAAAGAGGACUUAGCAGUAAUUUCUUAGUUAAAGUUAAGAGAUGAAGUAGGCUCUAGAGCGUGU
rnacentral:rRNA from 1 species